rnacentral:rRNA from 1 species
GAUGAACGCUGGCGGCGUGCCUAAUACAUGCAAGUAGAACGCUGAAGCUUGGCGCUUGCACCGAGCGGAUGAGUUGCGAACGGGUGAGUAACGCGUAGGUAACCUGCCUCUUAGCGGGGGAUAACUAUUGGAAACGAUAGCUAAUACCGCAUAAAAGUCGAUAUCGCAUGAUAUUGAUUUGAAAGGUGCAAAUGCAUCACUAAGAGAUGGACCUGCGUUGUAUUAGCUAGUUGGUGAGGUAACGGCUCACCAAGGCGACGAUACAUAGCCGACCUGAGAGGGUGAUCGGCCACACUGGGACUGAGACACGGCCCAGACUCCUACGGGAGGCAGCAGUAGGGAAUCUUCGGCAAUGGGGGCAACCCUGACCGAGCAACGCCGCGUGAGUGAAGAAGGGUUUCGGAUCGUAAAGCUCUGUUGUAAGAGAAGAACGAGUGUGAGAGUGGAAAGUUCACACUGUGACGGUAACUUACCAGAAAGGGACGGCUAACUACGUG